rnacentral:tRNA from 1 species
GCGAACUUGGCGGAAUGGUAGACGCAGGAGACUUAAAAUCUCCAGCCCGAAUGGGCGUGCGGGUUCGAGUCCCGCAGUUCGCACCA